UACAGAGGUCUCAAGCGUUGUUCGGAUUCAUUGGGCGUAAAGGGCGCGUAGGCUGCGGGGCAAGUCGGGUGUGAAAUCUCAGAGCUCAACUCUGAAACUGCACUCGAUACUGCUUUGCUGGAGGACUGGAGAGGAGAUUGGAAUUCACGGUGUAGCAGUGAAAUGCGUAGAUAUCGUGAGGAAGACCAGUGGCGAAGGCGGAUCUCUGGGACGGUACUGACGCUGAGACGCGAAAGCGUGGGGAGCGAACAGG
rnacentral:rRNA from 1 species